rnacentral:rRNA from 1 species
GAUGAACGCUGGCGGCGUGCCUAAUACAUGCAAGUCGAGCGAACAGACGAGGAGCUUGCUCCUCUGACGUUAGCGGCGGACGGGUGAGUAACACGUGGAUAACCUACCUAUAAGACUGGGAUAACUUCGGGAAACCGGAGCUAAUACCGGAUAAUAUAUUGAACCGCAUGGUUCAAUAGUGAAAGACGGUUUUGCUGUCACUUAUAGAUGGAUCCGCGCCGCAUUAGCUAGUUGGUAAGGUAACGGCUUACCAAGGCAACGAUGCGUAGCCGACCUGAGAGGGUGAUCGGCCACACUGGAACUGAGACACGGUCCAGACUCCUACGGGAGGCAGCAGUAGGGAAUCUUCCGCAAUGGGCGAAAGCCUGACGGAGCAACGCCGCGUGAGUGAUGAAGGUCUUCGGAUCGUAAAACUCUGUUAUUAGGGAAGAACAACUGUGUAAGUAACUAUGCACGUCUUGACGGUACCUAAUCAGAAAGCCGCGGCUAACUACG